AAGAAGACAAAGAGCUACUCCUCCAAUCAUUUAUCGAAUUGUCAUUUCAUCCUCACUAUCGAAACCCUACUUAUCAUUGCAGCUAAACUGACUGUCAGUUCGAGUCCACGAUUACAGAGCCAGAAGAAGAGCAAGCAAUUUCUCAAUGAACAUCGGCCACGGUUGAUGCGACUCUGUCGCCGCUCAGCAUUCAUAGUGCCUAACUGUUGGUACCGAAUCGGCUGCUUCCGAGGUCGAAGACUGUGGCGGCGCCUGGAAAUGCGGGAAAGAGGACGUAGCUGAAGGCAAUCGUGGUCGUCCAAUCGUGAUUGGAGAAGCAUGUAAGUUUCGAGAAGGACAUAAGCUAUUUGAUAAUGUCGAAACCGGAGACGACCAUGACCGAUCCGGACAUAGUAUGUCCGGACCUACAUUACGCCAAUGACGCCAGAGCUGGUAGAUCAGGUGCUCGAGAAGGAGCAACUCAACGCUCUUCUGUCACAAUGGCCGGGUUGACCGCCUUUAACCUCACCGUUGCGCUGGCUGAGAGCAAGGCGGUAAAUGCUGGUCGAAUUGAUGGUGGCCGAAGGUCAACGUGUCACCAAGAAAGCGGAGAACAGAGAUCGGUUUAAACAAGCAUGAAAAACACCGGUCUCAAAUCGGCGCCGGGACAGGGAACUAUCUGGAUAAUGCAUCGAGAUGGUAAUUGAAACUGAGAGUUCCUGUUGACAAUUAGGCCGGGCGUGAACAUUGAAGGGAACUCGUGGCCCACCCCGUACAACAAGGAGGAGUUCGAGACUACCUGCCUGGUGGAAUUGAUUGCGAGCUUGAUCUCGCAAGUCUUGGAGGAGAAGUCUUUGUUUGAUGGAAGGACUACGAACUCGAGGUUGCUGAGGAAUUUGCUUGACGUGAUGAACUCGAGGUUGCUGAGGAAUUCGGCUUGACGUGAUGAUCAUAUGCUACGUUGUCAAUAUUGUUUCCGCGGAAUUGUACACAGGCGUUUUAUAUCACCGUUGCGCCUGCAGAUAAGCUGACCUAUGACGAGUACCACGAUCUCAGCGCUUAAGGGACUAUUGGAUUGCAAGGGAAACUUUCUGUCUGUUAAUUCCUUGGAUCAACUUCCCAACGAUAGAACCAAGAAGACGCCUGCUGUUUUCGGCCUUCUAUAAAUUAUGUAGUGACAAAAGGAUGCUGGAUGAACAUGUGAUACAUAGUGAUUCAAAUCCUGCGACAGUAUUGUGAAAAAAGUGAUUGUCUCUACUUUGCACUGGUUACAGUUGAGGAUGUUCUGAAUGUUAUUGAUUUUAAAUGACCUGAUGGCAUGAUUGUAGUCUUUGGAGGUUAAACAUCUCUGGAGUUGGCCCUUCCUACCAAGAGCACUUCUUAGAUGAGUUCCAGUGUAGAUAGAUCUGGACCUGUGUGUGGACUACGGAGUUAGCAGAGAGACUACAGGUGUGCAGCCUAAUGAACUGUAAGUAUGUGAUAAUGGUAUCUGGAGAAGUUUCUCAGUAGAGGCAAGUCCUUGAGCUUCUCAUACUUUUCCAUUUUUAGCCAAGGAAACUUUCCACGCACUCACAGAAUAUGCCGCUCAUGUGAUUUAUAAGAAAGUUCACUACCUUCAUUUCACAAAAGUGCUUAUACUAGCCUGAGAUGCAGAGCACUGCUGAGGUGACUGAGUAUUGGUUUGGGUUUCUCGUUGCCAUUGCAAUUGUUAUGGCCCAAAUUGCCACUGGGCAGAGACUACGAUUCACCAACAUAGUGUUUCUCAGCUUAAAUAACUGACGAUACCCCAAUUAAAAAAAAAAUACAAAGGGAUUCUUAAGGCCAGGCUUCAAAAUUGUUUUGACUUCUGGGACUGUUGAUUUUCUUGAAUUAAAAGAUAUUUCUGUAGAAUGAGUUUUGAUAUGCAUGAGUGGCUGGAUGGGUGCUGAUAGGAUUGCUAGUGGGUAAAUUAACUUAAUGGUGAUAAUAAGGUCAGGUGAUGCACUUGCUCGGAUUCAUACCCAUCAACUGAGAAGGAUGGCUCUUGCUUACAAGGUACCUAAAAUGAUAACAGUUUCUGGUUCAUUGUCACUGCUGAAGCAAUAAGAACUCUAAAAUCAAGUACCGCUCAAAUGAUUGCCUUUCAGGAGUUCUUGAUAUUGAGUUAGAACCAUGAAGCAGUAAAGACCUGCCAUCAGUCUCUUCUUCACCAUAGAUUGAGUGGGUAUUCCAGGUGUUGUGCCAUUUAGCAAAAAGGUGAGAAACCCACUUUGAGGCAUUUACAAAAGUCUUUUUGUGUUUGUAUGUGUUGUUGAGGCAUGAUUCUUAAUGAUUGUGUCAAAAUUGCGUUUAAUAAAACUGUGACACUUUUGGAUGAGUGCGCCGGGAAGAAUGAGAUCCAGAACCCAGUAGAAACAUAGCAACUGGUGAAUGCCACUAUUAUGACAUUCUUUGUUAAUAAAUUUUUUAAUCUCAUCAUUUAUUUUUCUUUCACUACUUUAUUUAGGGUAUCAGUUGAACUUGGCUUGAGAACUAGGAAUGUCCAUUUGUCACUUUUGAGUGUGACAAAACGUGUAUAAUAGUUUUUUUUUCCCCUUCAUCUAUUAAAAUGAUACUUGGCACUUUUUUCCCCGAAGGAAGCUUAUCUGCUUUUUUUAGCUUGAUGGAAUCUGAGAUUUAUGGUCUUAAUUUUAUUUAUCAUUAUUUGUCUUUCACUACUUACUUAGGACAUCAAUUGAGCUUCGGCUUGAGAACUAGGAUUGUCCAUACGUCACUUUUGAGUGUGACAAAACAUGUGUAUAGCAGCUUUUUUUUUCCUUCAUCUAUUAAAAUGAUAUUUGGCUUUUUUUCCCCCCCGA